UGUCCUAAUGGUUGCAUAUAAACACAG
rnacentral:piRNA from 1 species